rnacentral:rRNA from 1 species
GUGCCAGCAGCCGCGGUAAUACGUAGGUGGCAAGCGUUGUCCGGAUUUAUUGGGCGUAAAGCGCCCGCAGGCGGCCUGGCAAGUCUCAGGUGAAAUCUCCCGGCUUAACUGGGAGGGUGCCCGGGAAACUGUCAGGCUCGAGGCAGGGAGAGGGAUGUGGAAUUCCCGGUGUAGUGGUGAAAUGCGUAGAUAUCGGGAGGAACACCAGUGGCGAAGGCGGCAUCCUGGCCCUGUCCUGACGCUCAGGGGCGAAAGCGUGGGGAGCAAACCGGAUUAGAAACCCCUGUAGUCC